CCUCCAAAACUCGAAUCUGCUUUAGAAUCGGAUUCGAUCAACCUUUUCUGAUCGAAUUUUUAUCGCCAGAUGAGAAGCUCCACGGGUCUUCCUUCUUUCCUUCUUCGACUGGGCAGUUCAACAGUCAAAAGGCGACAUCUUGCGUUGAAUGAAACAUGGAGUCGAAGACCCUUGGCUGAAGAAACCUUCAAUUUUCCAGAAGAACGCGACCUCCAAAUCAAGUAAUUCGGUUUUCUUGACGAAAGCCAAGUAAUUGUUGCGACCCAAAUUGUUCUCAAGUUAGAAAUGGUGGAUGCAAGUUAGAAAUGGUGUUUGAGCCUUCCCAUAGGUGUUCUUGUCCUUAUAGGCUUUUGGUAGAACUGGAACAGUGCUCAAUAUCUCAGAAGAGAUGCAAGACGAUUCCAAGGCUUCGGCUAAGCAAGUCUCUUCAUCGAGAAAUCACUGUGGAAAGGCUUUUGUUUUAGAAAAGCCAUCCACAGUAAACUACACCGCAAAAUGUUGGACUACUUCCUCAACGACGAACACACGUCUCAGUGAUAAUUGACAUGCUAAUAAUGGUUGGCAUUUCCACCCCCUUGAUGAUACGAUGAGGGCUACAAUGAUGGAGAAUUUCCUAUCUUUGUAUGCCAGAAAGCAGAGGAGGUCUCAUUGCAUCUUCUUCUACCAUGUGUGCAUGCAUUUCUGAAGCAAAAGCAGGAUUUGAUUUGAACAUUGCAGUUCCAGCUUCGCGAGGCAAAGGGGAGAGAGAAGGUUGAAUGGUAUUACUCAGUUCCUUCACAUACAAUUUAUCUUCCACAACAUCAUAGUAGUCUGCUGUUCUUACCUCCUGAGCAAGAGAACAAGAGCAGCAACAUAGCCACUGAAAACAAUCUGUCACAGACGGCUCGCCGCAGCAGAAAGUAUUCGGAGGGAGGUUAAAUUUCUUUCUCAUCUGGAUCCUCCAAAAGCCUCCAUAUAACAAACCAAAGAUGCAGAGUAAGAAGCCUGUGAUUCCCAGA